rnacentral:misc_RNA from 1 species
GGCAAUUCUUUUUUGAUAGAUUCAGCAGCUUGAAGUUCAGCCUCUAUCCUAGAAAUUUUAUCACUGAGGCCUUUAGUCUCUUGUUCCCUGUUGGCCUUGACUGUUUCUAUCUGAACAUGCAACAUUUGUAGCUCAUGUUGUGCAGCAGCUAAAUCUCGCCUCAAAGUUACAUGGGUGGCAGCAAGCCUCUGAUUUUCUGUAGUAAGUUUUUGCAUCUCAAGAUGUUGUGCACCAAUCUUCUGUUCCAAAAUCUCUGGAGGAGGUAGCCUGUCAAAAGGGGGGAAAUCAACUGGUGGAGGGUUAUGCGUAGGAGGACCAAAAGAAUCAGGAUACAUCAUGCCGGGUCCUGGAGGCGGACGCCUAAUGUUGGGAGGUGGCCCUCGACCUUUGCUUCCCAUUGAGAGAUUGUGCCAGGAACCUUUGAACAAAUUGAACUUGCUUCAAUUAGGGAUUCACCUUCCCUUUCGAAUCGGAACAG